UGAACUGGAGCACAGAUGGACAGCGGUGAGGAGGUUCACUGGUCUCAGGCCUGGAAACCUGUAGCCUCUCCCCCAGAGUCCAAACCCUGGAAACAUCAGUGGAUUUUCAUAAAGUGCCUUUUGCUAAUUUGCUGUCUCAUCCUCGGUUUCCCCUUCCCCCUGCUCCCUCGACUGAAGCCUUUUUUGCUCCGCCAGCCGAGCGUCCAGACAUAAGCAGAUUACUGUGGGAGAUCCAGAGUGAUGGAAUGGCAGGGGUCCAAGAAGAACGCU